AUAAACCCAAGAGUUUUUUCUCAUAGACUAUCAGGAUGAAGGUGGUUGUUGCUCUACUGUUGCUGUACUGUGUGCUGCUCCAUGAUGUACAAACUGAGGUGGCAGAUUUAAUGGCCAAAGAAAAUAGCAACCAGCCCAACAUCUGGACUGAGAAAUGGUAGAACACAUGGAGUGAAAAAAAAAAGAAUGCAGGGAUGAAUGACCGACUGAAGAUCAGUGAAACCCAGCUGGAAGAGUUUAAGAGAGAUAAUGCAGGUAAAUUGGUAUAAUCAAAAUGUAAAAAGUAAGGAUUGUCUUAUAUUCAUAUAGCGGUUAUAAUUAAUUAUUUUAUUAUUAUUAUUAUUAUUAUUGUUGUUGUUGUUGUUGUUGUGUGUAAUCUGCGUAUAUAAUGUUAAGUGUAUGCUGAUCACUUCUUGGACUGUGAACUGUGAAUGGUGUAAUAUUUUCUGACUACAGAAAAAACAAAGAUGUAGGUCCCUACAACAUAGAAAUCACACUGAUUCACACACACUAUUCAAUAACGUCUUCACCAAUUUUGGCUACAACUACAAUCCAACCACAUGUCCACAGUCUUGAUUAAUGGAAACUCUCCAUGUCGUGCUAGGAAACUGCACAGAAUUUAUAGAAAUGCAAAUUCUAAUUUUGAUCAAUUAUCAGUUAUUCAGCAGACCCUGUUUAUUUAUUUAUUUAUUAUUGAUUCAUAAAGUGUCUUCAAAGCAUCGAUUAAAAGAAUCUACUAC